UCUUCCGCAAUGGACGAAAGUCUGACGGAGCAACGCCGCGUGAGUGAUGAAGGUUUUCGGAUCUUAAAACUCUGUUGUUAGGGAAGAANNAGUACCGUUCGAAUAGGGCGGCACCUUGACGGUAACUAACCAGAAAGCCACGGCUAACUACGGUCCAGCAGCCGCGGUAAUACGUAGGUGGCAAGCGUUUUCCGGAAUUAUUGGGCGUAAAACGCGCGCAGGCGGUUUCUUAAGUCUGAUGUGAAAGCCCCCGGCUCAGCCGGGGAGGGUCAUUGGAAACUGGGGAACUUGAGUGCAGAAGAGGAGAGUGGAAUUCCACGUGUAGCGGUGAAAUGCGUAGAGAUGUGGAGGAACACCAGUGGCGAAGGCGACUCUCUGGUCUGUAACUGACGCUGAGGCGCGAAAGCGUGGGGAGCGAACAG
rnacentral:rRNA from 1 species